rnacentral:rRNA from 1 species
UGCCCAGUGACUCUGUUCAACGGCCGCGGUAUCCUAACCGUGCGAAGGUAGCGUAAUCACUUGUUCUUUAAAUGAGGACUAGUAUGAAUGGCACCACGAAGGUUAUACUGUCUCCUCUAUCUAAUCAGUGAAACUAAUCUCCCCGUGAAGAAGCGGGGAUAAUUGUAUAAGACGAGAAGACCCUACGGAGCUUUAAACUAAGAAUCAUCUGCUUUACCCUCCUUCAAAUUUCAGAAAACUAACUUUUACCAAAGCACUCUGAUCUCUAGUCUUAGGUUGGGGUGACCACGGAGUAAAAACCAACCUCCGCAAUGAACCGGGAUCUUUCCUUAACCAAGGGCCACAGCCCUAAGAAUCAACACAUUGACAUCAAUUGACCCAAAAAUUUGAU